rnacentral:miRNA from 1 species
UCUCCCUCCGUGUGCCCAGA